rnacentral:lncRNA from 1 species
ACUCUUUGGUGUAUGCUUGGUUGUGGUUAUAAUUUAUGAAUUCACAUGCAAUCAUAAAGGAAAAAUCAGGUUUGUAACAUGCUUGAAAAAAGGAACUCAAAUGUACGCUACAACCUUGUGAGACUUGAGCCUAAACGUUUAUUUGGAGAGUUAAUAAAUUGUGCAUCAUUGUUUUCUAAAGUCGUUGCAUGAUCUCAUUAUUCUUUGCUUGGUUGCUAC